UACAGAGGUCCCAAGCGUUGUUCGGAUUCACUGUGCGUAAAGGGUGCGUAGGUGGCGCCGUAAGUCGGGUGUGAAAUUUCGGAGCUUAACUCCGAAACUGCAUUCGAUACUGCGGUGCUUGAGGACUGGAGAGGAGACUGGAAUUCAUGGUGUAGCAGUGAAAUGCGUAGAGAUCAUGAGGAAGACCAGUGGCGAAGGCGGGUCUCUGGACAGUUCCUGACGCUGAGGCACGAAGGUCAGGGGAGCAAACGGG
rnacentral:rRNA from 1 species